UUAAGCUACAAAGAGCGUAGGGAGAAUGCCUAGGUACCAAGAGCCGAAGAAGGACGUGAUAAGCUGCGAAAAGCCACGGGGAGGAGCAAAUAUCCAUCGAGCCGUGGGUGUCCGAAUGAGGGAACUCAUACAGUAAAAAAAGACUGUAUAUCCAUACAUGAGUAAAGUAGUGUAUAGGAAGGGAACGUGGGGAACUGAAACAUCUUAGUACCCAUAGGAAAAGAAAGUAACAACGAUUCCUGAAGUAGUGGCGAGCGAAACAGGAAGAGCCCAAACCAUGGAUAGUAAUAUUUGUGGGGUUCGGAUUAUCAAUAAAGCCAAGAAUGAUGUUAGUAGAAUUACCAGGGAAGGUAAACCAAAGAAGGUGAAAGUCCUGUAUAUGAAAACAGAGUGAAGGCGAGAUAAAUCCAGAGUAGUGCGAGACACGAGAAAUCUCGUAUGAAAGAGCGGAGACCAUUCCGUAAGGCUAAAUACUACUUGGUAACCGAUAGAGAACAAGUACCGUGAGGGAACGGUGAAAAGGACCCCGGGAGGGGAGUGAAAGAGAACCUGAAACCCUAUGUUUACAAGCAGAUAGAGCGAUUUAAGGCGCGAUAUCGUACUUUUUGUAGAACGGUCCAGCGAGUUAUUGUAUAUGGCGAGGUUAAGUUCUGAAUAAGGAAUGGAGCCGAAGAGAAAUCGAGUCUGAAGAGGGCGAUAUAAGUCAUAUAUAAUAGACCCGAAACCGGGUGACCUAUCCAUGGUCAGGAUGAAGCUGAAGUAAAAUUCAGUGGAGGUCCGAACUGAUUGUCGUUAAAAAGGCACCGGAUGAACUGUGGAUAGCGGAGAAAUUCCAAUCGAACUCGGAGAUAGCUGGUUCUCCUCGAAAUAGCUUUAGGGCUAGCCUUGAGGUCAAAGAAUUAUGGGGGUAGAGCACUGAAUGAGGUAGGGGCCAAACCAGGUUACCAAACUCUAUCAAACUACGAAUACCAUAAUUAGAAUACUCAGGAGUCAGACUGCGGGAGCUAAGUUCCGUGGUCAAAAGGGAAAGAGCCCAGACCGACAAUUAAGGUCCCAAAGAUAUAGUUAAGUGGAAAACGAUGUGAAUUUGCAUAAACAACCAGGAUGUUGGCUCAGAAGCAGCCACUCAUUCAAAGAGUGCGUAACAGCUCACUGGUCGAGUGAAUUUGCGCGGAAAAUUACCGGGGCUAAACUAUACACCGAAAUUUCGGAUUUGUGAAUGUCUAAUAAUGUGUAUUAUUAAGAAAUAAAUUUUCUUUUGUCACGAAGUGACAAACAAAAUGAAAAAAUGAUAAAGAAUACACGAAAAGGAAAAUGAUGCAUAUUAUUAGACAUUUGCAAGUGGUAGAGGAGCAUUCUGUAGUAGGAAGAAGUCAAAGCGAGAGCAUUGGUGGACGAAGCAGAAGAGAGAAUGCUGGAAUAAGUAGCGAGAGCAAGGUGAGAAUCCUUGCCGUCGAAAGUCUAAGGUUUCCUGGGGAAGGUUCGUCCGCCCAGGGUAAGUCGGGGCCUAAGGAGAGGCCGAAAGGCGUAUCUGAUGGACAGCAGGUGGAGAUUCCUGCACUAUAGCUAGUUUUAAAAGAUGCAAGGGACGCAGUAGAGGAAGAUAACCAAGGAAGAGGAAAAACUUGGUCCGCAAGGGAUAGUGAAAAUUAAUAGUAACGAAAUAUCAAGAAUCACACUGACGAGAAAAGCUUGUAGAUAUUAACUAGAAAUACCCGUACCGCAAACCGACACAGGUAGAUGAGGAGAGGAUCCUAAGACGAGCGGGAGAAGCAUUGUUAAGGAACUCGGCAAAAUAACCCCGUAACUUCGGGAGAAGGGGAGCCUAAGUAAAAUUAGGUCGCAGAGAAAAGGCCCAAGCAACUGUUUAACAAAAACACAGGUUUCUGCAAAAUCGAAAGAUGAAGUAUAGGAGCUGACGCCUGCCCAGUGCUGGAAGGUUAAGGGAAAGAGUUAGGUGUAAACCGAAGCUUAGAACUAAAGCCCCAGUGAACGGCGGCCGUAACUAUAACGGUCCUAAGGUAGCGAAAUUCCUUGUCAGGUAAGUUCUGACCCGCACGAAAGGCGUAAUGAUUUGGGCACUGUCUCGACAAUGUACCCGGCGAAAUUGUAGUACUAGUGAAGAUGCUAGUUACCUGCGACAAGACAGAAAGACCCCAUGGAGCUUUACUGCAGUUUGAUACUGGGUUUCGGCAAGUUAUGUACAGGAUAGGUGGGAGACUAAGAAAGAAAGGCGUCAGCUUUUCCGGAGUCACCCUUGGGAUACCACCCUUAAUUUGUUGGAAUUCUAACUAGUGGUCAUGAUCUGGCCAGAGGACAAUGUCAGACGGGCAGUUUGACUGGGGCGGUCGCCUCCAAAAGAGUAACGGAGGCGCCCAAAGGUUCCCUCAGUGCGGACAGAAAUCGCACGAAAGAGUGUAAAGGCAGAAGGGAGCUUAACUGGAAGAUAGACAUAUCGAGCAGAUACGAAAGUAGGGCUUAGUGAUCCGGUGGAAAUUGAAUGGAAAAGCCAUCGCUCAACGGACAAAAGUUACCCUGGGGAUAACAGGCUUAUCUCCCCCAAGAGUUCACAUCGACGGGGAGGUUUGGCACCUCGAUGUCGGCUCAUCGCAUCCUGGAGCGGAAGUACGUUCCAAGGGUUGGGCUGUUCGCCCAUUAAAGCGGUACGCGAGCUGGGUUCAGAACGUCGUGAGACAGUUCGGUCCUUAUCUGUCGCAGGCGGAAGAUAUUUGAGAGGAGCUGUCCUUAGUACGAGAGGACCAGGAUGGACAUACCGAUGGUGUAUCAGUUGUCACACCAGUGGCACGGCUGAGUAGCCAAGUAUGGAAGGGAUAAACGCUGAAAGCAUCUAAGUGUGAAGCCCACCUCAAGAUAAGAUAUCUCAUAUCGUAAGAUAGUAAGAUUCCAUAAAGACUAUGUGGUUGAUAGGUUGGAGGUGUAAGUAUAGCAAUAUAUUGAGCUGACCAAUACUAAUAAAUCGAGGGCUUAACCAC
rnacentral:rRNA from 1 species